UGGUGACAAAAAGUGAUUGAUUCUUCAGAUAGUUUGGCAGCAGGCGCUUGCGACGCUUGACAAUGACUUGAAUCUUUUGAAUUGAUUUAGUUAGCGAAAAAGAUAAAAAGUCGGACAUGUUCCAUUCUCAAUGGGAUCUUUCGCCAACCUAUUUGAACCUUGAAAUUUCGAUUACUAUUUGCUAUUGUUGAUAACCGUACCCUAAACCGCAUCAGGUCUCCAAGGUUAACAGCCUAUGGUUAAGUGGAAUAAAGUAGAUGAGGGAAGUCGGCAAAUUCGAUCUGUAACUUUGGAAAAAGGAUUGGCUCUGGACGUCAGUGAUUUAACUUGUUAAGUCACAAUUAUGACAUAUCCAGAACUGGUGUUGACUAGAGGAAUCUGACUGUUUAAUUAAAACAAAGCAUUGUGUAAAGUUGAAAAACUAUACACGCAAUGUGAUUUCUGCCCAGUGCUCUGAAUGUUAUUGUGAUGAGAUUCGCAUAAGCGCGGGUAAACGGCGGGAGUAACUAUGACUCUCUUAAGGUAGCCAAAUGCCUCGUCGUCUAAUUAAUGACGUGCAUGAAUGGAUCAAUGAGAUUCCUACUGUCCCCAACUACUAUCCAGUGAAACCACAGCCAAGGGAACGGGCUUGGCAAUAUAAGCGGGGAAAGAAGACCCUGUUGAGCUUGACUCUAGUUUGAUAUUGUAAAACUACUUGGAAGAUGUAGCAUACGUGGGAGCAUCUAAUGCGACAGUGAAAUACCACGGCUUCUAAUGUGGCUUUGCUCACUCGGAAUUAGUGGAUCUGCUCUGCAGAAACGCGAAACUAAAGUGUAAACGACAUUCACUGAGGACAUUAUCAAAUGGGGAGUUUGGCUGGGGCGGCACAUCUGCUAAACAUCAACGCAGAUGCCCUAAGGUUAACUCAAAGAGAACAGAAAUCUCUUGUAGACCGAAAGGAGAAAAGUUAGCAUUAUUCGGAUUUGUAUCAUCAAUAAGAAUUGCGAAAGCAUGGCCUAUCGAUCCUUUAAGCCCAGAAAGAUUCUGGCUAGAGGUGACGGAAAAGUUACCACAGGGAUAACUGGCUUGUGGCAGCCAAGCGUUCAUAGCGACGUUGCUUUUUGAUCCUUCGAUGUCGGCUCUUCCUAUCAUUGAGUUGCAGAAGUCUCAAAGUGUCGGAUUGUUCACCCGUUAAUAGGGAACGUGAGCUGGGUUUAGACCGUCGUGAGACAGGUUAGUUUUAUCCUACUUAUACACGCAUCAAAAGAGUUAAUCAACUUAGUACGAGAGGAACCGUUGAUUCAAACCGCUGGUUAAGCGUUUGACUGUAAAGUCAAAGACG
rnacentral:rRNA from 1 species